AGAGUUUGAUCAUGGCUCAGGAUGAACGCUGGCGGUCUGCUUAACACAUGCAAGUCGAACGGGACUCUUCGGAGUUCAGUGGCGGACGGGUGAGGAACGCGUGGGUGUACCCGCCCCCUGGUGGGGGACAACCCCGGGAAACUGGGGCUAAUACCGCAUGGCACCUGCGGGUGAAAGCCGCAAGGCGCCAGGGGAGGGGCCCGCGUCCGAUUAGCUUGUUGGUGGGGUAAUGGCCCACCAAGGCGGCGAUCGGUAGCCGGCCUGAGAGGGUGGCCGGCCACACCGGGACUGAGACACGGCCCGGACUCCUACGGGAGGCAGCAGUGGGGAAUAUUGGGCAAUGGGCGAAAGCCUGACCCAGCGAUGCCGCGUGGGUGAAGAAGGCCUUCGGGUCGUAAAGCCCUUUCGGCGGGGACGAUGAUGACGGUACCCGCAGAAGAAGCCCCGGCCAACUUCGUGCCAGCAGCCGCGGUAAUACGAAGGGGGCUAGCGUUGCUCGGAAUUACUGGGCGUAAAGGGCGCGUAGGCGGCCCUGCGCGCCGGGCGUGAAAUCCCUGGGCUCAACCCUGGGACUGCGCCCGGGACGGCAGGGCUAGAGGCGGGCAGAGGGCCGUGGAAUCCCCAGUGUAGAGGUGAAAUUCGUAGAUAUUGGGGGGAACACCGGUGGCGAAGGCGGCGGCCUGGGCCCGUCCUGACGCUGAGGCGCGACAGCGCGGGGAGCAAACAGGAUUAGAUACCCCCGUAGUCC
rnacentral:rRNA from 1 species